GGCGCCUGACGGGCGGUCGGCACCUGCGGCGCUGCUGGGGGUCCGCGUGAGCUCCGCGGGGCUGCGCUCCCAGUCGCGGAACGGCGCUCCCAGCAGCGGGACGGCCGCGCGCCGCUCCUCAGCCGCUCGAGCUGUGGGGGCGCUGCGCCGCGCCGCGCCGGAGGGGGAACCUCGGCUGAGACCCGGACGUCUGGAGCGGCACGCUGAGCGCUGCAGCCACGUUCCCAGCACACGGGUUCUGCACGCCAUGGGGAGCAGCCAGCAGGUGUUUGUGGGAGGAGCUGCAGUCCAGAGACCUGACCUCAGGUGUGGAUGUGUCCCCUGCUGAUGGGGGACCUGUCUGCCCUGUGCCUGAUCCAGUUACCUCCAAAGCACCGCACGCUCACACUCAAUCCUUCCAUGCAUGGAGCUGUGCUGCUCAACUCGGUGUAGCUGUUCCUGCUGUGAUCUUCAGUGAGCAUCACUGUGAUUGCUGACAGCUCGUACAAAUAGAACAUUUCAACUGCUUCUGUUAGAGCUGAAUUCUAUGUAAAGGAGAAGUGACUAGAAACCCCAGACUGGGUCCCAGGUCUUGCUUAACUUUGUAAUGCACGCUGACUUGCUGACGCGACUCCAGUUAAGGUAUGGUAUGAAUCAGGAGCUCCAACAGCCGCUGCGGAAUGAGCGCGUUCACAUGAAGUCAUCCUGCAGCAGCUAUUGCAGAAUAGUCAACUGCUCUGUGUAAGCAAGCCCUAAAAGCCAAUCCUGGUCCCAGCGGCUGUGUGACUAGGUAAGGGAGGUAAAGGGCACAAGAAAGGCACCCUUCUGUCAGCUAUGGAUGGGCUGGGAGCAAAGAAACCCGUGCUGCUCAGGGCUGCCUUGCAGGCCGCUGCUUUUGGAGUGGUUUGGUUCAGGACUUUCUGCUUUGAUGCCUUUGAUUUCUGAGACUGGCCCUGCGUACGAAGCCGCAGACUGUUUCCUCAUUUAGCCAGUGCAGUGUCUUCACCUGAUACCGAAACAAGAUGGAAGGAAUUGAAUGUUUCCCCCGGUGUGGCUGGAAUUGAUCUGCUUUUAACCCAUUAUCUACCGAUGGAAUAAACAGAAGCAGCUCCACUACUACCAGGAUGGAGAACAACCACCGACUCUUAGUACCGGAAACAGGAAGAUCCAGAAGGGGUUUUUGUUCCUACGUUACAAUUUUUAUCUUUAGUAUUCACAUCAUACUCAAAGUAAGAAUAUUUAUAUGCUAAAAUAAACCCCUUUUUGCUUUGUGAUACUGGAUUGAGCCUGCCCACCUUCUUCCUAUCACAGCUCUGACCCAUGGAGAGAGCCAAGUGGUGGAUGUGGAGGUCAGAAGGGGCCCUCCGAAUGCAGGGGAUGCACACAGAGCAAUCCUGCAGCCCGUCCUGAAGCCGGUGCAUGGAUGAGUGGAUCUUUCUCUCAUGUGCUAUGGGAACUCUGCCUAUAUAAAUGUCUGACAAACUCUACCAGUGCUUUAUAACCUUGUGUCUUCUACCUUCUGGUAAGCCACAAUUUCCUGCUUAUGCAUCUCUGUGGAAGAAGCCCUUCAUAUAUGUGACUGCAUGUGGUGAAUAGGAGAGCAAGAAGAGUUGGUGUUAUUUUUAUCCUAUCUGUUCUCAAAACAGCUCUCCCAGUCACACACCCCUCCAAUAGCCUUGGAGUGGAGGGCAGGUGCAGAGCCCUGUGGGGACACUUGGUACUUGGCCAGGGGCUGGCAGGCAGGAGGGCUCCUGCAUGCCCUGCAGGUGGGAUUCCUGCUCCAUUUCACUGCAGGGCAUUCUGGGCAGACCUGUGAGUCCAAUUCUGUGUGCCCAGGCCAAAGCAUUACGAUUUCAAGGACAAAUUUGGCUGUUCCUUUUGAAACUUCACUGUCAUUUAGCACCUCCAGUCUGGCUUGGAAAAAUGCAGAAAUUCCUAUAAUAAAUGUGUUUUGAAAAGUAUACACAGGCAAUCAUGAUUUUUUCAGUCAGUCUCAAGUGAUGCCAUCCACUUCUACUCUGCUUAAGUGCUGCCCUGGACUUCUUGAAGUUGCCAUCCCUGGCAUAUGCUAAGUAAGUAGUAUGAACAUUUCAAUAGACCUUGCCAAAACAAAGCAUCCCCUUCUGGCAUGCAGAUAAUUCUGCAUGGAUAGCAGAAGAUGUACUAAGCUUGAGCCACUGUUCAUAUUUCUUUGCACAUCAAAGCAAUUGCACCAGCAUCUUUCAAGCACCCAUGUUCCAGGCUGCAAGGAGUCUCUGGCUGCACAGGGCCUUUCUGAAUUGCCCUGUGAUGUUAUCGACUGCUUUCAGUGCACAACAUCUGCCUGGAAUAAUUUAAUGUGGUGCUUUCAGUCAAAUAGAAAUUGCAUGUCAGCCACAUGAUCUGAAUUAGACCAGUGCAGGAAAUAACAUUUUGCAGGCAAAUUUGGUGCCUUCUUUCACUGGAGCCCUUUGGUACUUGGCUGUAGUUUUCGAUGAAUAGCUGUUUCAUGGAGGAAAUAUGGUAAUUAAGGCAAACUUUCUUCAUGUUUUAAACUACUUUCAGCAAAACUAGAAAUCCAAGCUGCCAAGCAACCUUUAGUUUUAGCAGAUUACUGCUGGUCUGUGUCUUUUUAAUUAGGCCAGAGUCAAUCAAGUUUAAUUAAGAGAAUUGGUGGGACAACCAGGACAGCCUUCCCAAGAGCAGGACUCUGUUCUGGGGCCCAGUUGGUACUGGUUGAGAUUUGGUUCUCUAUAAAGACAAAGAAAACAAAAUAAAACCUCAGCAAAAUGAAUAGAUGUCACGAGUCUCAAGCACACAGACAAAGGACAGGGUUUGACCAUCAGUCUGUAGGCAGAAGGGCUGUCACAGACAGCCAGUCACAAUAUAUUCUGAUCUUUUGGUCAGCACAGAUGCUACCUGCAGUACCAAGCUUUGGCUCUGUGGCGAAUGAGAAGCAAAUCUACGGAUUCCAGUGCUUGUACUUCCAGGCUGUUAUGGCUUGCUCUUAAAUGGGGAAAGGAAGCCAAAGGAAAUCAUGUGCAUUGGAGUCAAAUACCAUUUUUAGGAGUGGGAACUGCAUGAGUAUUUCACCAGUGAUUAAAAUAGCCAGGGACCAGGGCACACUAAUGAUUAAUGAUCUCUUUCUGCAAGCUGAGGACAUGUCCUACAGAAUCUGGCCCUCCUGAGAGAUAGUCAUGAAGUACAGUUUGGCGGAGCGUAUUUUAAAGGCAUGAGCAAAAAUUGGUAGGUUAAUUGUUGUUUUUUAUGUUGUGGAUCUGCUGUGUCAUUUGGCUUGAAUUACUGGCCCCUAUUUCGGAAGCAUGCAGUACAUGGAAGUAGCCCUUACCAACCUGGUGCAGCCACACCACUGUCCCACUCCCAGCACAGGCAGGAGUGCGGGCUGAGAAGUUACACUAAGCUCACUGCUGCAGGUGGAACAAGGCCAUCUACACAAUUAUUCUAAAGCCCCUUUUUUUUUGACUUACCUCGUUUGCCUUCUGUGAAGGCGGCUCUCCUUAGCAGGACCCCCAGCACUCCUGAGGUCACAUCCUGCAUGCUGCAUUACGGGGAACUUGGAGGCCUGGACUGCACCUUGUCCCCAUGGCAGCUCAGAGCACAGCCCCACUCGGGAGGCCCCACCAGCCAUCCUCCAUCCCUUCACUACAUGGCAAAGAUUACUGCUGCAGGAAGGAGGCCAAGCAAGAAGCUGUGUGAUCCCUAUCAACGCACCUGCCCUCUUCCAGCAUCACACAGACACCACUGAUUUGUCCAUUAGAGAUGUCAUUUUUCCUGCACAGAAACAGCAGUACAAGGCGUUACUACAAUCAAACUUCAGUUUCAAGUGAGGAACUUCUGGGAGUUCCUCUUCUUUUUUUUUUUUUUUUUUUUCCAGCUGCAGGGAAGGGUGAAAACUAUCAGCUAUACAAAUAUUACAGUUUAUGCUGUUAAAUAAAUCAUAAUUUGUCAACAGGUAGCUGAAUUAUGGCCAAUUCCACUGAGAGCCAAAACUGAUCUUCUUUCCCAGUGCUAUUGUAUAGUAACAGCUGGCAGAACACUGUCAAGCAAAGCUGUGCUGUGCUAAGCUGAUAAAUAAACCAGUGAGCCUCAGUGUAGGAGCCACAUCAUCUCAUGGAGAGACUGCAGCUCAUGCUGGAAUGUGUUGCACAAAUGCUUGUUAACAGUCUACACACAGGCAGAGAGUUGCUUUAUGAAAAGGUGUUAGAAAGAUGUGAUUUGAAUAAGACACAGCAUUCCUAGGGUUAUCAAAAGAACCAGCCAGGUUUCAGGUCUCAGAGUACUAAAGCACAGCAGCAAGCCAGCCAAUGUUAGCAUUUCUUGUUCAUUCAAAUGGAGAGUCUGGUAACCGGAUUCUGGAUGAGUGGAAAGUCCCAACAAGUUCUAAGAUACAGCAAGGCAAGCCAGAAAACCAACAGAGAGAAAUGUGUUUCUAUUUGUUUCACAGCUCCCAAAUUCUGCUGGAGAGUUUUGCACUCUUCAGUUGUUUCUGAGGCAGAAGGAGACCUCCUCUGAUUGCAGAUGCUGUGUUGCUUUAAGCCAAUCAGACUACACUGUCCCGGGUGGGAGAAGGAAGGGUAACAAGUGCCAGUGCCCCAUCAGGAGAUACAGCUUCAUGCUGGAGCUCAGAGCCUCGUGCAGCCGGCAGAUAACUCUGUGUGUUUUAUACUUAACACCACUCUGGUUUUGUCCUUGCUUUGCAGGCAUUUUAUUUUUAUCGUGGGUAAGAACAGGAACAUGUGCAUUUCUGUGAAAGGCCGAGCACAGGGCUGCAAGCUCCAUCUCAGUGCAAAUAAUACUUUGGCAGGAAACCUGCAGGAGAUUAAAUUAGGGACCUAAAGACUGAAUAUUAAAACAUUUCCAACUUUUGAGUUCUUUUAAAUAAGCAGCUACAAAACAAAGCAGUCUGACAAAAUUAGCAGGACCGAAGUGCUAAAGGAACCCACUAAGGGUCAUUUAUUUGUUGAUGCAGAUUUAAGAGAACUUUUUAAGUUAUUUGUAUUAGUAGCUGUGUAUGUCAACAUGCUAUUUCCUCAAUGCAUUUUGAGUCCAGAUUAGCUAAAGUUUUAGGUGUUGGCAGACUUGCUACAAUAGAAGGGAAAUGCCACUGGAAUAACUUUAAACAUGAUCCAAUCCCUGAUGAUUCAUUGGAUGUGUUAAAAUUUCCUUUGAGACCAUGUAAGUAAUGCAGGGACUGGAGUGCAGAGUGCCUGUGACUCAGCUCUCUGCGAGGCAAAGGGAGGAUGUCAGAAUUGCUCACUGGGACUGGAGGAAUCUCAUUUAUCUAUUUAUAGGCAAGGCUGAGAUGAGCUCGUGCCAUUGAAGAGCUGAAUUUGCCAGUUCUCUUGGGGGGAGGAAAAGGGAAGGCCCUCCCGUUAGCUGGUGGGGCUGCUUCCAAACCCAAGGACUCUGGCCAGCUGCAUUUUCUUGCCCUCGGAUGAGCAGCGUGGGGCACCUGGUGCAGACCUGUGGGAGAGCAGAGCAGCCCAGCCCCCGGCACCAGCUGCUGCUCAGCCCCUGCACCAGAGGGGCUGCAGGACCAGCAGGUCCCGUGCCCUGAGGUCAGGGGGCUCUUCCCACUGCAGGGGCAUCACUGCAGCAUGCGUGUAUGUCAGCCAGCUUCAUUUAAGAGGUGCCGGUUAGAGGCCGCUUUGCCAAAAGCCUUUUUACUGCUUCUCUUCAAAGAGGUACUGCAUUAUUCCCCGUGAGUGGGCAUUCUGCCUAACAGGGCAUCAGAAAAGGAAAGCUCCAGGGGACAGAGCGGGGAGCCGAGCACACUGCCUGCUUCCAGCCUCUGCACAGCCUGCGAGCCACUGGCAGUGCUGGGACAGCCAUUCCUGAAGGUGUGCUUUCAGCCAUGUAUAUUUAGGUUUGGGAGGUGAAAGACGGUCACACUGUGGGUAAAAAGCAAGAGCUCAAACCCACAGCGAAAUGUUUUAGUGACACUGCUUUUCUGGUACAGCUGGCACUUAGCUGUACAGCAGCACACACUGCGGCCUGGUCUUCUUACUAAGAAAGAAACCACUCCAUAUAGGCACCACACACCGCACUGCUCCAUCACUGGGAACACCUUUGUGGUGUUGGUCCGGGCUGUUCUUUCCAUUCCCUGCAUUUAGCUGCUGUGGCUAAUUCCCUUCCCAAAAAAGAAGUUAUCUAGGAACACAGGGCUCUGGAUUACUGAUCCAGCCUCCUACUGUUACAUUCAAUUACAUCAUAUCGUGCUUUUUGGCAGGUUGUCCCAGCACUUCAUUUAAAAUUUUCAGCCUUAAUAUCAUUUGUUCUUGUGCCAGCAUCAUAAUGUAGUUUAAACAAUUCUCUUUUUUCUCUGAUCUUUACCUAUCAGAUAUAUUUACUGAAAACAAUCCUAUCUCCUCUAGCCUUUGUUUUGAAAAACUAAACAAAUGAAACUCUUCUAGUCUCCUCUUGUUCCAAACCCUCUGAUCAUCCUCAAUGCCCUUCUCUGUACCUGCUAAUCUUCCUCGAACAUGAGUGAACCUGUACCUUCUAGGAUUGUGUUUGCUUCUCCAUAUCAGAUUGGUGGCUCACAGUCAUCCCUGGGAGCGAAUUAUUCUCUGUGGUUUUUUUUCCACCCCCCUGCCUUUGUCAUCUUCAAGUGAGUAAUAUGAUAUUCUAGUUAUUAAUUUCUAAAUGCAUGUCUUAAUACUUUCUCUAUUCUAUUUCAGAUGAAUUCUGUCAUUCACUCAUUGCUGAUUGAUGUUCCGAUCAUCCUCUGUAUUAACAAAGCCCGUGUCCUCAGCAGAUUUCUUUACUACAUUCCUACUGCUGUGCCAGACUCGUUAAUGAAAGAAGCAAGAGUGAGCUCAACACUGACUCCUGAGGAGUUCCACUUACUGACUGCCUCUGUCUGGCAUUUCUUCUCUGCUCAGAGCUCCCCUUUCCUCUGCACUUUAACAGGUUUGCAUUCACCAUCCACACUAAUCCCCAUCAUCUCAACUUCAACGAGUAAUUUCCCCUGUGGUAUAAUAUCAGAUUCUUCGCUCAAGUCUGGAUAGAGUAAAUCACCUGUAUUUCAUUUGCCUAAAAAAAUAAUCAGUCAUCAAAGAGAAAUAUCAGGUUAAGCUGAACUCAUUUAAUGUGCCAAAUCCUGGGAUGGAAAUCUGCCAGUGCACCUUCACCUGAGCACACCGAAUUCUUCAUGCUUUUCCUUCCACCUUACAUGUGAUAAUUUUCAUUCCCUUAUGUAUAUUCCCACUAGAAAUCUUGUCUUUGUCACGCUGCUCAAUACGAUCAUCUCUACUGAAAAUGUGGACAAAGUGUUUUUAAUUCAUUUUUAGACCAUAUGUGGAUGGGUCUUAAUCUCAACCCCAUUCUCACUCCAUAAUGACCACGUUUCUCCUCUUUUUAUUUCUCUAACUGAAACCCUCUGCCAUCUGUUCUAAUUUCCUUUUCAAGUCCAAUUCACAAGUUCACUUUUGACAUUUUUCAUCCUGUCUCUGCCUUUCCCAUCCCAGCAGCUUCAAAUUGGAUGACUGAGGCAAAUACUGCCUUCAGUCUUCUGCUCCACCACUCUUCUCCAAUGCCAUCCUUGUGGCAGUGGCAGUAACUCAUAAGGCAGGUCCAGAACUGCUGCACUGAACACGUCACUGGAGUGGUGGCUGUUCAGGACCUGCAGGGUAAGCUGCUUUGUCAGCCCUGUGAUAAGAGUGAUGGCCUCCAUCAAAGAGCAGAGCAGAGCAGAGCAUCGUAUUCUGUAGCAGUUCCUCUCCAGACAUCUGAUUUCAAUCCCUAGCUGCAUGCCAGCAGAAUACCCUCAUGCCAAUCAGAACUUCUGCAUGUCAGUUAAUGCUCUCCACGUGUUUGGGGCUGGUUAUUUAUCCCACUGGGGUUGGAGCAUUUCCUGUCAGGGUUCAUCUUCCUGCAUGUUUCAGCUGGUUUUGGAAUCCAAGUUCCAUCACAUUCAAUUCCUCAGAUCUGCAGUGCAGCUGAUUCCACUAAUUAGCUCCCUUAACUUCUCAACAUUUGCUCUCUUUGAGAUGAGUAUGUUUUGGUGUGUCACUACAGACGGUGCUGAAGAUUCAGUCCUAAUGAGGUGCCUUUAAAAGCUCAUGUUUCUUACCCAGAGUCCUCAGAUGCUUUGGCUGACUCACAACUUGGUGCUUUAGAGACAGCGAAAGAACUGCACUUCCCUUUGUGCAGGAGACAGACUCUGUAUCAUCUUAUCAUUGCUCAAUAUUACCCAGCAUUUUCAUUCUGUAGCCAACUGAGACAAUAAAGAGCCUAAAAAGUCACAUUUCAAAAGAUACUGCACUGGAUGGAGAAUGAGUUAAGUCCCUAAAGUGAAGUCCAAAGCUUCCUACCCCCACUGAGAUCACUGCAGCACUUUGCUAACCAAUUUUGCUUACCAGAAAGCAAGGUGUCUGUACCAAGCUAUUUGCUUUGAAUUCUGCCUAUUUCCUGCAGAAAGCAAAGCCCAUCCAGACUGCAGCUGACCGGUCCGAGACACGCCGACAGGUAGCAGAGGCCUAGCUUAGAGUGCUCGUACAGCACCAGCACAAGAAGAGAGCCACGUCCACAAGGGACUUCUGAAAAAUGCAAAGCACCUUGAAAAAUCCAGGCCUUACUGCCGGGACUCUGCAUGUGAUGCACGUCCUCUCUUUACCUGCCUCCUCAGCUGCAGAACUGCAGCAGCACUGCCCUCUUCCCAAGCCAGCAUGCGAGUGAUACAGCCACAGUGCUGGGGCUACGUUGCCAUCUGAGAUAGGUGGAAGCUGCCUUCUGCUGCCAAACUGGUGCGUGUUCAAACCCUGUAGAAAGAGCUGAAAUGGCAGAGCAAUGUAAAUUUCUCUCCUCUCUCCUCUCUUUCAAUGGGAGCAAAUAUGCCCCUUUCCCAAACCAUGUCUGCCUUGAAUGCUCCCUGCUCUGCUGGGCACCUACUGACCUUGGCAGUGUCACAGGACCCGUGUUUUUCUGAAAGAGUAACCUCCUUGUGAAGAGGCUUAUUGCUUUGGGAAACACAAAGCAGUCUUGUCCUCUAAGUGUCCAAGCCUUCUUUUCACGUCUGUUUAUUCCUUCACUAGCAUUUAUUUUUGGCCCUGCAAAAAAAAAAAAAAAAAAAAAAACACAACUCCACAUUAAAGGGAUGGUGUCCAGUUAAAACCCACAUGCUGCACCACCCCUUCACACCCCUUUGCAGAGGAAGGGAGCAGAGGAGACCAACAAAAAAACUCAAGAAUAACUGUCUUCUGUUGGGCACAAAACUGCCUUUGCUUUCUAGAGAAAAAGCAGCAGAGCAUCCUCAGAGCAUUGGUCAAAUAGGCCAAAUUCCGCAUGCCUGAGGCCUGUUUGUAUACAUAAUCACAAAUUCAAGGACCAAAUUUCCAUUUGUCCUGGAAAAUCUCUCUAGUUGGUAUUAUAAAAGGAGCCCAGGAGAGCAGGACACCAAUGUUCUGCAACGUCAUACCGAGUUUGUGCUGUGUGUGACUCUUGAGCAAUGCCAGCCUUUGCAACACAGCUUACCAAUGAUAUAAAAUCAGAAAGACAGUUUCAUGCUGCUUCUGUGCUGUCUCCACAGCUCUCUGGGACUACUAGAGCAAGAACAUGGCUUCUUAUGCAGUAUAGAAAAGCUUAUGAGGAGCAGCAGGUGAUUGAUGCCUCCUGAGGCCAGUGCCAGCUGCACUUAACUGCUGCUCAAGGCCAGUGUUAAGGCAAACAAAAGCACUUAGGCCACCAGCAGCGUAUGCUCACCUGUUUGACUUUGCAGAGAAGUAAUCACAGAGCCAGUGCCAGCUUUGUGCCUGUCGUCUCCCAGCUGAGAGCUGUGACUGUGUGUGGCCUGAUGCAGCUGCAGAAGGGCUGUCUGAGGGCUCACAAAGCUGAAGUCCGAGGCACAAAGUUCAAGUCCAAGGUCCUGUACUGACAGUGUGUGUGGUCAAGACCUGCGUUCCUGUUGAAAGAAGGAGAGAAGGAAAGCUGGACUGCAUCAUGAGCUCUUUGUACUGGCUCUGCAAGAGCAAUUGUGCUCACUGGCAAUAUCUAUGUCUUGGACCACCCAGCAGCAUCCAGCAGCCCGGGUCGGGUAGGUGUGCUCCAUUCGUUUAGCACCAUGACUGAGUUGGGCACCUGAGGACAAAGUUAUUAAAGCAGUCUGCUCUCAAGACCUAUGUGACAGCAACUGCAUCACUGUCUGCUUUCACUGAAGUCAAUGGGACUCUGGCCACAGGCCUGAUUCCUCUCUCUCACACAUCAAUAGAUUAUCUUUCAAGUCCAUUGGCUUCUAUGAAAUUAGAGCUGUCAAGCCCUGGAUGUACACUAUGGCAUGGUUCAGCCAAAAGAAAUGAGGGACAUGAUGGAAAUUGAAACCUCUGGAAAGACUUGGCCUAUCUUGUAUGCUUAGCAAGUCAGUAGAAUAUUAAUGCUGCAUCCAUCACUCAGAGUACGUGCUUCUGGAUGCUUGGCUGACUUUGGUAAGGGGCACUUUGAGAAGGAUAAAACUGCAUUUUCAUUGCUGAGAAUCUUCCUACAACACACAAUGUGGCCCAUGGGAUACUGACAACCUACUGGUAUUGUCUUCAGAGACUACAUAGGGGCUAACACUGCUAAACUGUAUAAACAAGUGCUUACCCCUGAAUAUCACGUUAGUCCAAACAGGAUUUAUAAACACAGAGAUGGUCAGAGGUGGGCUGUCCUCCAAUCAGUCUGUGAAUCUAGAAAGAAAGAAAGAAAAAAGAUGACUUUGUAUUCUUUCAAUUACAUACGUUUCAUACAUAAUUAAAGUAAUCACAAAAACACAUGCAUUGUAUCAGUAAUUGGCAAAUUAAGAAUUCGGUCACGGUUGUUCAGGAACUUACAGACUCCAUGCAAUACCAAUAAUAAUUAUUUAUAGCCUACUAUGCAAGGAAAUUAGUCCAGGAAAACUGACUGAUUAUAACGUAGCACAGUCACCCCAAGGGAGAAGUUGAGUGCAAUGUGCAAGGAGCAAGACAUCACACCAUUUUCUUGUCUUGUAUUAUAAACUUUACUGCAAGUAGCAUUCUGGUAUUUUGUAUUGAAUGUCUCGGUUCCCCUGUAACAAAUACCUAUUGUAUUCCUGCUGAAUUUCAUUGAAUUUACUCCUGAGUUAUACUUAAGGUCUGAGGCAGAUCCACAUUGCUGCUUUCUGUAUAAAUCCCUGAGCUGCUUAUUCACAAGGAUGUGCAGCUUCGCAAAAGAAUGAGUUGAGAGAAUGAGCUGGGUGGCAGACUGUUAGUUCUGAUGGUAUUACCAUAGCAUCCGGAGAAGCUAAAUGCAGUGCUAACUCAAGGUACAAGAAAGCUUCAGCCCUUGAAAAGAGCUAACAAAGACAAUGCACAGAAAGUGGGAGGAAGCAAAGAGGCACAGAGAAGAGAAGCGGCUGUGCAGUGUCACACAGCAGGCAACCCGGGGGGGGCAGGAGCAGGGCCCCGUCUCUUAGCACUUUCCAGCUUCACACUGCCUUUUGGUCCUUUCUGCAUGUGGACCUCAUGCAUCUUCAAUUGAAAGCACAACCCAAAAAUAGAAGAUCUUUUUUUGUCAAGAGAACUCGUGCUCUGCGAGUUGUGAAAACAGAUUAUUUCCCAUGAUUAAUACCUGCCUCCUCUCUGAAGACAUCCAUCUCUGCGUGGAUCGGAUUCUAGUAAAGCAAAGCUCACCUCUUAGGAAAGAAAGCUUUCCGUUUUCUUUCUGCUAACAUUUCUCCUCACCAUUGUCCCUGCAAUCCUUUUAUGAUGCAGGCCCAACAUAACUCACAGUACUUCCCAUUAUUGUGUGCCACGAGUGUGAGCAGAGCCCUUGUUGUGGUAGAUAGCAGCCUUCAGACACCCCAUGCUUCCUGUUCAACUGGAGCCAAUCGCACACUGCUUGGUACUGAAACUAAGUCCCUAAUUAAUUUAUACACAAGGAGGUCAUUGUAACGAUAACGUAAUGGAGAUCAGUCCAUUAGCAAAAAGUGUGGAUAAAUUAUUUUCUUUUAAUGCUUCCAUCAACGUUAAGACCCAUUAAUCAUAUUUUAAGAAAACAACUUUAAACUUACACGCUAUUUGUAGGCAUUUCUGAUGGGACACCCAGCCAGCCCUGCUGUUCAGCAAGGAAAUUUCUGCCAUUCACUGAGCAGAACUGGAUCUUUACCACACAGAAGAUGGCACAACUGGUCCGACUCCACUGAUAUUCUCUUUAUAACGUGAGAAAGUAGCAGUUUUAACAAAAAGGAAAUCAAGAUUAAAUGCAACAUAUUCUGAAGGAGGAAAAAAUUCCUAGCAGCAGCUGAAAGGGAAGUGGAAUUCAUCAAUGCCUCUUUCAUCUUUAUCAAAUUACUAUUCAGUGCAGUUACAUUUAUUAAUAACAACAGCCCUUAAACCACAUUGUGAAAACCCAUUAGCAAGAAAUGCUUUAAAAUCUACAACAGGCUGAAACAGAAGGUUUAUCAAAGGCUGAAACAAUUCAACAGUAUAAGCAGAGUGGGCAUUUUUAUGGGCUGCUGAGCGUGCCAGAGCAUCACUGUGACAUAUUCACAAGUGGGCUGUUUGUGCUGUGUAACUAAAACUUGCUCUUGAAUUCAGUAACCCACAUAACCAAGAGGUAAUGCAAACUCAUGCUGUGCUUUGGAUUUUUUCCCCUCACUCCAUACAUACCUAUUGCUGCUGGCAGUUGCAGAGCUGUCAGUGCAGCACUGAGCGGGCAGUCCCACAGCUCUCACUGCUCACAGAGGGGAUGCACAGUGACUUCCCCAUAACAAACCCUGAUGAGAAGAACCUUUGGAGAGGUCAUAACUAUUCCCAUGAGAGUCAGGACCAGCCUGGAGCCAACCACCGUAUCACCCUUUAAUUUUUCAACACAGUUUACCCUGGAAGUUUACAUAUUCCCUUCUCAUUCCCUUACUCGGUUUUUUAAGAGCAGGCAGUUUGAAUGUCAAUCACUGCUGAGCAAUCUCUGAGAGGGUAUGAGAUACGGAGGUGAAAUCCAGAGGAGGGAUUCUGUCAUCAUCCUCACAGCAGAAGCUGCCAGUCAUCCCCAUUGUGCACAUCCUGCACCACUGGAGAUGUGUACACAUCCCAGGGGGGCUGUUACAGAAGGGCCGCUGCCUUGCCCUGCUCUCAGUCGCUUCCAGUUUGCAGCAGAGAACAAUAAUGGCACAGACAGCGCAGCAUUGCUGUGUGCUCAUUCCGCAGCAGUGACUGUAUCUGUCACAGCCUCCUGCUGCAUCAGGGCAACGAUGUUUCUGAAGGCAUUUUCUUUGUUGCUGAACAAGGCAAAGCCUGAGUCGGGGAAUACAGGAGAGGCGAAGGGACAGAGCGAGGGAUGCGACUGCAGCUGGGUACAAGUGGACAGCAGUGCUUGCAGAUCAGCCCAUGCACAUUCUCCUUCCAGAUCUGAUAAUUCCCUGAUUCUGUAAAAACACACCCAAGGCAGGGCUCACGAGGUGCCUGAGGCAGAUAUGCAGACUGCAGCUAAAUGCAUCCCACUUCUCUGGAGGGAAAAGUCCCUUCACACCCAUAAGCUGUACACGUAUCUCACCCCAGCAGGAUGGGCAGACUGUGCCACCUCCAACCACUCUCCGGCUCCAUCCGUCCCCACAGUGUGUUCUACUUAGGAGAGCAAAAGGGUGGCAGAACAAAUCCGUGGCAGGAUGUAUCUUCUGUAAUCGCACACAACUCAGCUUGUUAAAUUGACUGGUUUCUGUCCCAGCUGAGGUUGUAACUCCAUGAUUACUUUUGACCGAGCACAGCUAGAAAACACGUAAUUACAUGGGCCAAAGCACAGAGAAUGGUGCCCACUGCUUUGCUGGUCAAGUGCAGCACAUGAGGGGAAUAGAACCGCUUGGAAAUGAAGUGUACAUUCACACCUCACCACAUCCUCACUGCAGAGUUUACGGCUUUCAGGCUUGGGCAGCAUGAAAGGCAAAAAUUUCCCAGGAGCAGUGAUGGAUUGCGUGGCAUGAAAAAUCACAAAUGGUCAGUGCUGGGGAUGGGGGUUCCACCAUCCAGCCAGAUGCAAGCAGUCCAGGUGAGCACUGGUGAGACAGCACUUGGCAUCUCGCAGGAACGAUCCUUCUGGGCUGUAAUCCCCCCUCUCCUGGUGCAUUUUCUGUUUUCUCUGUUGUUGACCUGCAGUGAUGGAGGAAAGGGGUUGGACAUAGAUGGUGCUCUGAGCAGGAGUGGGGUCUGCUGGAGAGGGAACAGCUGUGGGGCUGGGAGGGAAACAGAGACGGGAAUGAGACAGAUACAUUUCCCCUCUGGGAGGAUGGGCUCAGGCAGCCUGAGGAAAAUAAGGCUAAAAUGAAAGGGAGGAAACCAGAGAAGAGAAGAUGGAACAAGGGAGAUCACAGAGAACAACAGGAAGCAGUGCUGAGACGACAGACAUGAAGGCUGGGCUUGUGGGAGAAAAACAAACAGAGUAAAAAAAAAAAUCAGGAAUAUUGUGCAAAAGACAGAAAGAAUUUUUUAAAAAGUCCUAUAAAAGUGCCAACUACCCAGCUGCUGUAAGUAAAACUCCAGUACACUUACGUCAACACCACACCACAGAUCAGCACCAGGGGAGGAGGUCUGGGGUUGUUUUUUAAUUGCUUGGAAAGGCUUCCAGUGAUGCAGAACGUGAACUCCAGCUUCCACUGAUGUCAAAGGGAUUUAGAGGUGCUCACAGUCUCACAAAACCAAGACCCAACUUGUCAAAGUGCAUGAGACAAGAUGCCGCAUUCAUCCCUCGAGAAGAGCCAGCUUUGCACAUUGCCUGACCUGCACCUCGAUGGCACACGCGUGGCAGGGACACGAGGACACAGGGACACAGCCCAGCUCUGCCCACAACACACCAGGCUUUUGCUUUGCUCUCCCUGAUGAGCAGCGAGGUCCUUGGUUUGCACAGCCAGGCGUGAGUAGGGGUAAGAGGCAUCCGCUUUGCUGGUUGAAGUGAAAUGUUUGGCUUAUUGGCACAGCUUGUUUAGAUUGGCUCCUAGCACUCAGUCGAUGUUAUUAGAGAAAGCAAUCAAAAUGCAUUAAAUACUAGGAACUACAUUAAAACAACAUGGAGCAUGCAACACAAACCAAGAAAAGCAAGGGGCUGAGUAUGGAGUCUGCCAUCCCCUCAGUCAUGAGUGUGAAUAUGGUGGAGCCAUGUCACAGCGACGUUUGGAGAGGUAGAGCUGGUGAGUUCUUGCAUGCUGCAACACGGAAGAUUUCAUCUCCUUUUCCUCUCCAAACCACAGCUUCUAGAAAGACUUUGAAAUGCUGCAGUCAGCUCCUACGCCUCCCUGCUGAGCUCCUUCCAGACUGAGCUCUUAAAUUUGCUAUGUUUUUGCCAAGACCUAAUUUUCUUUUGACCACAUAUUAAAGGGCAGAUUCCCAUGCCACAGGGAGGGACUGAGAAGUCAUAACGGACACAUCCGUCACCUGUUUGGCCAGAGAUAACUGCUCUACCCCACUUCUGCAGCUCCAUCAGACUUCUCAGUUUCUUCUUUGGCCUUGAGAUAGGUCUCCAGGGGCUCUGGGAUCCCUAACUUAUCUGUUUUGUUAACUGAUUUCAGCCACAGCCAGAUCCUCGCUUUUCUACUAUACUAUGAAAAUCACAACUGCAUGUUACACCUGGUUGAACAGCAAGGUGAUUAUUGUAAAGCCUGGAUUUCCCAAGGGAAUAAAGCUGUACAUGGAGCACCGUGUGAGCCGAAUGCGUGCAAGUAGUUCUUGAUCGUGUCAGGCUAUUUCAAGGAGACAGAGAGGAGGAUUUCUCAGAGCCCUGAAGGUCCCAGACAGACGCUGCUGAUGACAGAUGGAGGACAUGGACACCAUUAGCAUCCCCUGAGGAAAAGACAGCAGCGGAUGCUCCCUCUACACCAGACAGCAGAGAUGCCACAGAGGUGAGCGCUGUUCACUCAACUCGCUGAUCAUGAAAUUACUCAUUAAUAAUCUCUUUGCGUGAUCGCUUUCUAAUGCCACUCCCCUUCCCCAUCUGCUUGGGGCUGCACCCUGCACAGCUGUCCGCUAACCACCUUCCUCACCCAGCUGCCCAUCACCUCCAGGGCCUCCAGCAGUGAGCCAUCCACGUGUUGCUGCAGCAGCGUAGCAGGGAAACCGGAGAGAGGAUCAACACACGAGGCGCUGGGAGCUGCAGCGGGGCAACAGCUGUCCCUCAGCACAUCCAUUGUUCUUGUGCAGAGAAGCAGCUUUAAGAAAGUGGUGUAAAUUACAGGAACUGGAUCACUGGCUUGAACAAUGUCAGCACGUCCCUUCGAGGGCAUUCACUCCCCCCACGCCAUGAAACGACAAGUUAUUAUUUAACAGCAGACCUCACACAGAGGAAUGUUUUUCUGUAUUCAUGACCUCUAACAAGUAUAGCAAUUGUUUACUAUACUCUGAGUGAUCCAGAAGGAGCUAUAAUGUGAUAAUUAUAGAGAAACCUUCCUAAAAAUAUAUUUCUGAUGCAUCAGCAAAAACUCGGCAGGCCCCUCCAGCUGGCACUGCACAUAUGAGUUAAGCCCAAUUUGAGAAUCAGAUCAUGCACUACAUUUCGUGCAGCUGUGCAGACUCCAACGAGAAGCUCUGGAGCAGAUGUCUUGUAGCAAUGGAGGGCAGGGCAUGAAGAAGCAGAGAAGCAGAAGAGACCAAAGCCACGUUUCUUGACUGAGUGGUCAGUGACAUAGGAAAGCAUCAGUUCCAUUUUCAAGUUGGAUAAACUGAGGCUCUGGAAAUCAGAACACCGGCAUUUUCUAAGCUGCUCUCUGACUGGUUGGUGUCUGAUGUUAGAGGUCCAGCUCGACUCCAGGCUGCGCCUGCUUCCCCACAACUACUGAGCCUCUGCAUUUUUCAUGAAGGGAUACAAUACAUUACAGUGAUUUUUUGUUCCGACACGCUGCAUUUGUACACCUGCUCCAUGCUCAGCACUUCCAAACCCCAGCAACGCUCUUUGAAGAAACACCCAGAAAGGCCUCAAGAUGUUCCUGCCUUGCAGCCAAGCCACUGAAAAGCCAACCUGCUGCUGCUGCCCAGAGCCCUGAGGCUGACCUGACCCCUCUGCUGCUGUUUCCGCUGAUCAGACUGUGAAGGGAAGCCAGCGCACAGGUGUUUGUUUUCUUUGCCCAGCACAGCACUUCCCUGAAGACAAGCUGGGACUUCACAGUCUCUGUAGCUCCUUGGCAGCAUCUGCAGUCUUCUGUGCCUCAGUUUCCUCACCUACAGAAAGGCCCACAUGACAAACCCUGAACCCAGGGCUGUGUUAAAGUUUGGAAAACACACAGCACCUUGAAAGAGGGCUUCUAUGGAAGCACAAACAGUCCUUUAUUGCUUCAAUUAAAAAGAGCGUGUUUUACAAUCCACGGUCUGUUUAUACUUGCACUUCUUAUGGAUAUCUCUGAAAAGAACCCAGCCUCAGCAGCUCAUGGAUUUGGCACAGCACGCCAAAUAAUAAGCAGGCUCACCAACCCUUCUACAACACACAGUGCUUCUGUGUAACUUUGCAGGCUGUGUUUGACUUGCCUGAACUUGAACAGUCACCACUGAUUGAUUGGCUUCUAAAAAUACACAUAUGCCAUGGUUCGGAGUCCAGAGAGCUUCUGUUGAUUUAGAUGGAGACCUUGCUGGGAAGAGGCUAAGACAGACACCUGACACCAGGGUGCUGCUGUGCCGGCCACUUGCUGCCAACUGCACAGGGUGCUCUGAAUGCAGGGCUCCACCACGCUCAGCAGCCCUCCAUACCUCAGAGUGGGGAAAAAAGCAGAAAGAAAGCAGCCCUAUGGAUCCCUUCCCUUCCUGCAACUCCAUUUCCAGGCUGCCCUGCAGCUGUUGGUGAUAAGCAGAGUGAACCUGCACAUAUCCUGCCAGAGGGCUGAGCUCAGGUGCUGAGCACCUGUGGCUCCCAGCAGUCAGGGGGGUGCUCAGUGCCCUGCUGAGCUGGGGGGGCUCCCAGCAGGGAUGUGACUCCUGCAAGGGAGAUGCAUUGCACUGUACCCUGGAGGAGGCUGCAAGCACAUGAUUAUUGCAACAGAAGCCGCUAGGAGAAAAAACAGAUUACCAUUUCCAUUGGAGGUAAUAGGUGCCAUGUUGAUUUAUAAACCUGUCACUGCUGGCCAUUAAGCAAACGCUGUUGCAGCUCCUAGAUCCCAUUCCGGAGCACACUGAGUAAGCUGCAGUCUCUGGCACAAUGUCUUGGAGAGCUCCACUGUAGGGCAUAGGGCCACAGCUUCUCCCUGUAGUGACCAUGAUGUUAGCACUCCCAGUUACAUGCACCCACAUCGCUACAGCUGAAGCUUCAAAAAACAUUUUGGAAAGGGAAGGAGGUGUGGGGCUGCAGGGAGCCAUGGCACAGAGCAGAGGAGCUCAAGCAGCUGAAGCUUGCCACAGGGAAACUGCAGAAAGUCAGGAGCAAAGCAAAGCAGUGUCUGUGCAUUCUGGGUGUGAUGCACUGACAGCAGCAUGCUAGGCACUGGUGAGGAACGCAGCAACACCAGGUUUGCUAAAGAAGUGAAACUGAGACAGUUUCCAGCACUGUGCCCAUGCUUGCAGGUCUCAGGGCCACUCUGCUCACUUACCUGCUGACAUCGGAGCUAACAAAAGACAAAGCAGAGUGCAGUCAAAUAUAUACACUGGAUGUUGCCAUGCUACUGAAUGCAGCUUAGCACAGCAGGACUUUUUCUAAAUGAUGUAUUGUAGCUGAGCUAAAACCUAAAUAAUAAUGCUUACUUUGGCUCUCUGGAAGAUCACAGCUAGACAGCAGCCUGUGGAAUACCACGGCUAGUGGAAGAAAUCAUCGGUAUUCUAGGAGCACAUGGGACUGGAGAUGAUCACUGCAGCCAGACUCCUCUUUCACAGCAUCACAUGCCAGCUCAUUUGUGUGUGGGUUAUGCAAUGGAACCCGGCCCUGCUCUCCUGAUGCAACGUCUUGCAGAAGCUGGUUGCUCCAAGACUCAGAACCCUCAUUUCCAGCAAACCAGUGCCCUCUCUUCAGCUCUGCCACACCGAACAUCCCACAUGGUCACUUCUGUGUCACUCACUGUCCCAGUCAUCUUCUGAGUUCUGCUUUGGAUUCCUCCUUCCCAAAGACAGCUGAUGGGAAUUGGCUGUGACUUUCCAGAUGGAGGCUGAGCAGUUCCUUGUAUGGUGGCAGAAGUGCUUCCCCAUCUUUACUGGAAAUAUCCUGCCUAAUAAACCCGAUGAUCUCACUUGGCUUUUGUGUUCAGUUUUAAAAGAGGUAUAAAAGCAGGCUCUCCAAUAUUUCACUUCAUUUUAUUUUAGUGUUUGUUAUCUGGAAAAAAAGAGGGUAGUUAAACUGCCUUUUUAAUUAAAUUCCUUUAAAUCUCUGAAAACAAGGAAGAAAGAAAGAUAGUAAACAAAGUAAGACAGAAGAAUUACCAUGUGUAUGAGCAGAGGUAUUUUUUCCCGUAACACAUUGAUAUAUAAAUCUCUCUUUCAAAAACUUGCAGGAUGGCUCAGUUGCUCAGUCUGUCUCCUGGGCAACUCGUGACACCUCACAAGAGGAGCCUUGUGGGACAUCAGUCCUGGGAAUUCCAUUGAAAUUCUCAUCCAAAUAAAAAGUACUCCUAAUUUCUUGAAGUUUGUGAUCAGUGGGCUGCCCGGGGUCAUCAGCACCCUGAGGACCUCUCAUGGGGCCACAGACACGCUGACCUGGAGCACCAUAAUGGAUCAAAGGAACCACGGAGCCCUCUCUGCUCAGCCACCCUCACUGCUUCAUGGCGGGACCUGAGGGACUGCCCCCACCUUUGAAUGCCCAUGAAAUAAACGAGGCUGGUAAAAGACUGUGGUUCAACUGCAUGAAAGAGCUAACAGACAGCGAUGGCACUGAAACUCCAACAUCUGCCACAGAGAUGGGGACAGCACAAUUACACCACCCUGCAGUCAGAAGGAAAAUGUUGCUUCUCUCUUCCAUUGUGCUACGAACUCUGUGGCACCUGGAACCAACUCUGAGCCUGUGCACAAAGGGAGAAGUGGUGUCGGGAAAGCACGUGCUGCACUGUGCUCAGCAGCCAAGGGGUCCAUGCAGAAGCUGAAGGCUUUACAUCAGAACCCACACAGAUGGAAGCUGGGAGGCAGAUGGAAGAACACGAUCUCCCUCUUCCAGCAGCAGAAAACUAUAAUGCAGCUCAAACCACAUCAAGAAAUCAUGCUUGAAUUCCUGUUCUCAGGAGUCAUUUAGUCACCAACCUCCAAAGCUGCUUAGGGAAGCAGGGAAAACCAGGUCUGUAACUUGCUCUGAGUAGUGUGGCAAAGAAGUGGAAGUCUGUGGUGUACCAGUGUGAUUCAGGAAGACUGACACUUCAUUAGUGUGAGUAAAGGCAUCACCACCUAGUCUUUAAUAUGCAUGUUUAGCUAGGUCCCAAUCCAGUCAUGAGAUCCCUGUUGCACAUGAGGAAGGCCUGUGUUCCAGUAGCUUUUAGUCCUCACUCAUGGUACUUUUUGCAGAUAUACCAUGAAGCAUUCCCUUUAGGGAGGGGAAUGCUUAGAUGUACCCUAUAAAAAUCAUAUGCUUUCUCUUCAGUCGUAACUACACGUUGCACGAGUGUUGUUUCUUAAUUAACAGAACAAGCAACUUAAUCUUUAUAAUUACACACCUUGGGACUAAAGAUUGCUAUAGAUGCAUUUUGCAGCAAGGCUUCCUCGCCUCCUCCACUGGGAAUUCCAACAUUUGCCUCUGAAACAGAGAUGCUGGGGCUGGCAUUUGCCACACUCAAAUCCACAAACCUCUGGUUGUGUCAGUUCCUGAAUUACAGACCUGAUGUCUGCAAAUGAUUGCUUUUCAAGGCGAGGGCAGCCACCCUUCCGAAGGCUGAGAAAUAAAUAUAUCGUAAAUCCACA
ensembl:lncRNA